GACGAACGUUGGCGGCGUGCUUAACACAUGCAAGUCGAACGGAAAGGCCCUGCUUUUGUGGGGUGCUCGAGUGGCGAACGGGUGAGUAACACGUGAGUAACCUGCCCUUGACUUUGGGAUAACUUCAGGAAACUGGGGCUAAUACCGGAUAGGAGCUCCUGCUGCAUGGUGGGGGUUGGAAAGUUUCGGCGGUUGGGGAUGGACUCGCGGCUUAUCAGCUUGUUGGUGGGGUAGUGGCUUACCAAGGCUUUGACGGGUAGCCGGCCUGAGAGGGUGACCGGCCACAUUGGGACUGAGAUACGGCCCAGACUCCUACGGGAGGCAGCAGUGGGGAAUAUUGCACAAUGGGCGGAAGCCUGAUGCAGCAACGCCGCGUGCGGGAUGACGGCCUUCGGGUUGUAAACCGCUUUCGCCUGUGACGAAGCGUGAGUGACGGUAAUGGGUAAAGAAGCACCGGCUAACUACGUGCCAGCAGCCGCGGUGAUACGUAGGGUGCGAGCGUUGUCCGGAUUUAUUGGGCGUAAAGGGCUCGUAGGUGGUUGAUCGCGUCGGAAGUGUAAUCUUGGGGCUUAACCCUGAGCGUGCUUUCGAUACGGGUUGACUUGAGGAAGGUAGGGGAGAAUGGAAUUCCUGGUGGAGCGGUGGAAUGCGCAGAUAUCAGGAGGAACACCAGUGGCGAAGGCGGUUCUCUGGGCCUUUCCUGACGCUGAGGAGCGAAAGCGUGGGGAGCGAACAGGCUUAGAUACCCUGGUAGUCCACGCUGUAAACGGUGGGUACUAGGUGUGGGGUCCAUUCCACGGGUUCCGUGCCGUAGCUAACGCUUUAAGUACCCCGCCUGGGGAGUACGGCCGCAAGGCUAAAACUCAAAGGAAUUGACGGGGCCCCGCACAAGCGGCGGAGCAUGCGGAUUAAUUCGAUGCAACGCGUAGAACCUUACCUGGGUUUGACAUGGAUCGGGAGUGCUCAGAGAUGGGUGUGCCUCUUUUGGGGUCGGUUCACAGGCGGUGCAUGCCUGUCGUCAGCUCGUGUCGUGAGAUGUUGGGUUAAGUCCCGCAACGAGCGCAACCCUUGUUCACUGUUGCCAGCACGUUAUGGUGGGGACUCAGUGGAGACCGCCGGGGUCAACUCGGAGGAAGGUGGGGAUGACGUCAAGUCCUCAUGCCCCUUAUGUCCAGGGCUUCACGCAUGCUACAAUGGCUGGUACAGAGAGUGGCGAGCCUGUGAGGGUGAGCGAAUCUCGGAAAGCCGGUCUCAGUUCGGAUUGGGGUCUGCAACUCGACCUCAUGAAGUCGGAGUCGCUAGUAAUCGCAGAUCAGCAACGCUGCGGUGAAUACGUUCCCGGG
rnacentral:rRNA from 1 species